rnacentral:rRNA from 1 species
GAAUGCCCAGCGUUAAUGCACCGGAUCCCAUCAGAACUCUGCAGUUAAGUGUGCUUGGGAUAGAGUAGUACUGGGAUGGGUGACCUCCCGAAAAGUCCUAGUGUUGCACCCU